rnacentral:tRNA from 1 species
GGGCUGGGCCGCUGGUUUAGCGGCCGGCGUCGUCGGCGUCGCAGCAGGGGUCGCAGCCGCCGGCGCCGCCGUGCGGACCGGCGCGGGCGCC